CACGUAGGGUGCGAGCGUUGUCCGGAAUUAUUGGGCGUAAAGAGCUCGUAGGCGGUGUGUCGCGUCGGCCGUGAAAACCUGCAGCUUAACUGUGGGCUUGCGGUCGAUACGGGCAUCACUGGAGUUCGGCAGGGGAGACUGGAAUUCCUGGUGUAGCGGUGAAAUGCGCAGAUAUCAGGAGGAACACCGGUGGCGAAGGCGGGUCUCUGGGCCGGUACUGACGCUGAGGAGCGAAAGCGUGGGGGAGCGAACAGGA
rnacentral:rRNA from 1 species